GUGCCAGCCGCCGCGGUAAUACGUAGGUGGCAAGCGUUAUCCGGAAUUAUUGGGCGUAAAGCGCGCGUAGGCGGUUUUUUAAGUCUGAUGUGAAAGCCCACGGCUCAACCGUGGAGGGUCAUUGGAAACUGGAAAACUUGAGUGCAGAAGAGGAAAGUGGAAUUCCAUGUGUAGCGGUGAAAUGCGCAGAGAUAUGGAGGAACACCAGUGGCGAAGGCGACUUUCUGGUCUGUAACUGACGCUGAUGUGCGAAAGCGUGGGGAUCAAACAGGAUUA
rnacentral:rRNA from 1 species